GCUCAAGUUUUCCUCUUUUUCUUUUUCUUAACCCACCCUUCCUCUUCCAAAACAAAACAUUAGCAGUGCAAAUCAAAGCGUUAGGGUUACAAUUUGCAUCAAAUCUGAUCGCAGACCUACCAUGAAACUUCCUUCUCACAAAACUAAGUUCAAUAUAACAAAAACAUCUCAAAACUGAAAAAUAAAGACACCCUAACUGAUUCACUUUUCUCGACUCUAAAUACAGUUGCCCUAACUGCGUCUAUCAGUAGCCCUAGCGCUCAAAAAAUAAAUCUGAUUUUGGGGGAAACACUCAAACUCAAUCCUUUUGAAGAAGAGGGGGCGGAUUGAGUCAACCAUAUAAUCGGUGUGGGUGUUAUCAACCCACUUGAAUCGAUGUAUAAUUGAGCUUAAGAUGCAACAAGAUAUCUAGAGCUUCAGCAUGUCCCUGCAUUGUUGCACUAUUGUUGAUUGAAUCUUGCCUCAAAUUUGAAUUUUUUAUGACAUCAAAGAUCUCUUCCAAGUCAUUAGAAGCAACCACUUCACCACUUAAAGUGAGGUAGCAACGUUAAGCGCGCUUCAUUGUCUGCAAAUGCGACAACAAUGGAGAGAUCACUCUUUAGCCAGAAGCUUGAAGCGAGUCGGCGGGAAGUUGCUUAUGUUCUUCGUCAAACUCCAUACACGGUUGGAUUUCACUGCUAUGUAUCCGACUUGAGCACUUUCAGGUGAAACCUUGUCCUUCAGUUGUGUUGAUUCGCCGAUCUGGUACUUUUUCUUACAUUAACUUGAGAUUCUCUGUAGAUUUUUGUGAUUUGGUCUGCUCUUGUUAAGAAGCUAGUAUGACUAUUGUUGUUCUUCGGGUGGAUUGUUCUUAUUUACUCUGUCUUUUCCUUCUUUGUUGGGUUGUUUUAUGCUUUUUCCUUGUGUUCUUACUUGUUGAUUUUUAAUUGAUACAUGAGCGGAUUUUCAGGGGUCAGUUUUAUGUAUACCUUUCUCUGCCUCAUACCUUGUUCAUUUGGUUCUUGAGCAAUAGGAUGUGUAUCUAAUACUACACAACGUUUAAGUCCCAAAUGGAUAGAUAUGCUGCAAGAGUUUAAGGUAUUGUUUUGUGUUGGUGACCUAUGUUUUCCACUCAAUGUGUAUUGAGUUUGAUGUUUACUGUCGUUGCAUCUGUAUAGUGGUAGCUGAAUUGUCUUCUUGCCAAGUGCUUAUGUAUCUCUUAUGAACAUGGUCUGUUGUUGUAUUUCCUGCGUACAGUUGGUAAAAAAACCUUUCUAUGUGAAUUCUCACUAUCCAUUUUACUCCAAUUGAACUAAUCUUGUUCCAAUAUUCAAUAAUUUAAGAUUCUCUAACAUAACAAUAUUUUUUCCUUUUUUACUGACAUACAAACCUUGAAACAGACUCUUAGUAAAAUAUGGACCCUAUGUAUGUGUGCCCGACUAUAUUUUCUUCUUUGAUGUGUACUACUAUCUGUUGUGGCGUUUAUUUUGUAUAAUUCAUUUUGUUGUCUCUUUUUUUUACAAUCCUGCAUAGGAUACAUCCCUUUUAAGCUGAGGGUCUAACGAAAACAACCUCUCUACAAUCUUAGGUAUAUUGUUUUUGUUGUUUGUUGUUUGUUGGUAAAAUAUAUUCCCCUAUUUAUUGCAUGCUUACAAAUGUGUUUAUCGGCAUAUGACCCUCCCAAAAAUAGUUUGAGGGAGGUUAAGAUUAUAUUGUCCUAUGUUGCGCGGACUCUUCAUAUUUGCAGGCGAACCCGUCUCGACGCGACACUGGUGCGGGCGCGGGUGCGGGGUGCGUGUCGGAUUCGGUCAAUCCGAUCCGGACACUUUGACCGAAGCCGAGAAAAGAUUUGGGGAAGAAAAAAUCAGUUUCCGGCUCCGGCUCCGGCGACGCAACGUAAAGAAGACAAAGUUGAAAAAGUAAAGAGAAGAGAAGAAAGAAGAGUUUUUUCUUCAAAAAAUAAAGGAAAUACAAAGUCUUUUUUUUAAUCUUUCUUAUAUGUACACAAUACAUUUACCUUUGAAAAAAAGAAAGAUCAAAAAGUCUUCAAAAAAAGUAGUGUCAGAAAAAGAAACAUCCCAUCAGCCAUCAACUCCAAAAAUCUUUUCAUUC